rnacentral:rRNA from 1 species
ACUCCUACGGGAGGGCAGCAGUAGGGAAUUUUCCGCAAUGGACGAAAGUCUGACGGAGCAAUGCCGCGUGAGUGAUGAAGGUUUUCGAAUCGUAAAGCUCUGUUGUAAGGGAAGAAUAGGCAGUUAUAGGGAAAUGACUACUUGNGUGACGGUACCUUACCAGAAAGCCACGGCUAACGUACGUGCCAGCAGCCGCGGUAAUACGUAGGUGGCAAGCGUUAUCCGGAAUUAUUGGGCGUAAAGCGCAUGUAGGCGGCUCUUUAAGUCUGAUGUGAAAGCCUGUGGCUCAACCACAG